rnacentral:rRNA from 1 species
UUAAGCGACUAAGCGUACACGGUGGAUGCCCUGGCAGUCAGAGGCGAUGAAGGACGUGCUAAUCUGCGAUAAGCGUCGGUAAGGUGAUAUGAACCGUUAUAACCGGCGAUUUCCGAAUGGGGAAACCCAGUGUGUUUCGACACACUAUCAUUAACUGAAUCCAUAGGUUAAUGAGGCGAACCGGGGGAACUGAAACAUCUAAGUACCCCGAGGAAAAGAAAUCAACCGAGAUUCCCCCAGUAGCGGCGAGCGAACGGGGAGGAGCCCAGAGCCUGAAUCAGUGUGUGUGUUAGUGGAAGCGUCUGGAAAGGCGCGCGAUACAGGGUGACAGCCCCGUACACAAAAAUGCACAUGCUGUGAGCUCGAUGAGUAGGGCGGGACACGUGGUAUCCUGUCUGAAUAUGGGGGGACCAUCCUCCAAGGCUAAAUACUCCUGACUGACCGAUAGUGAACCAGUACCGUGAGGGAAAGGCGAAAAGAACCCCGGCGAGGGGAGUGAAAAAGAACCUGAAACCGUGUACGUACAAGCAGUGGGAGCACGCUUCGGCGUGUGACUGCGUACCUUUUGUAUAAUGGGUCAGCGACUUAUAUUCUGUAGCAAGGUUAACCGAAUAGGGGAGCCGAAGGGAAACCGAGUCUUAACUGGGCGUUAAGUUGCAGGGUAUAGACCCGAAACCCGGUGAUCUAGCCAUGGGCAGGUUGAAGGUUGGGUAACACUAACUGGAGGACCGAACCGACUAAUGUUGAAAAAUUAGCGGAUGACUUGUGGCUGGGGGUGAAAGGCCAAUCAAACCGGGAGAUAGCUGGUUCUCCCCGAAAGCUAUUUAGGUAGCGCCUCGUGAAUUCAUCUCCGGGGGUAGAGCACUGUUUCGGCAAGGGGGUCAUCCCGACUUACCAACCCGAUGCAAACUGCGAAUACCGGAGAAUGUUAUCACGGGAGACACACGGCGGGUGCUAACGUCCGUCGUGAAGAGGGAAACAACCCAGACCGCCAGCUAAGGUCCCAAAGUCAUGGUUAAGUGGGAAACGAUGUGGGAAGGCCCAGACAGCCAGGAUGUUGGCUUAGAAGCAGCCAUCAUUUAAAGAAAGCGUAAUAGCUCACUGGUCGAGUCGGCCUGCGCGGAAGAUGUAACGGGGCUAAACCAUGCACCGAAGCUGCGGCAGCGACGCUGAUGCGUUGUUGGGUAGGGGAGCGUUCUGUAAGCCUGUGAAGGUGUGCUGUGAGGCAUGCUGGAGGUAUCAGAAGUGCGAAUGCUGACAUAAGUAACGAUAAAGCGGGUGAAAAGCCCGCUCGCCGGAAGACCAAGGGUUCCUGUCCAACGUUAAUCGGGGCAGGGUGAGUCGACCCCUAAGGCGAGGCCGAAAGGCGUAGUCGAUGGGAAACAGGUUAAUAUUCCUGUACUUGGUGUUACUGCGAAGGGGGGACGGAGAAGGCUAUGUUGGCCGGGCGACGGUUGUCCCGGUUUAAGCGUGUAGGCUGGUUUUCCAGGCAAAUCCGGAAAAUCAAGGCUGAGGCGUGAUGACGAGGCACUACGGUGCUGAAGCAACAAAUGCCCUGCUUCCAGGAAAAGCCUCUAAGCAUCAGGUAACAUCAAAUCGUACCCCAAACCGACACAGGUGGUCAGGUAGAGAAUACCAAGGCGCUUGAGAGAACUCGGGUGAAGGAACUAGGCAAAAUGGUGCCGUAACUUCGGGAGAAGGCACGCUGAUAUGUAGGUGAAGUCCCUUGCGGAUGGAGCUGAAAUCAGUCGAAGAUACCAGCUGGCUGCAACUGUUUAUUAAAAACACAGCACUGUGCAAACACGAAAGUGGACGUAUACGGUGUGACGCCUGCCCGGUGCCGGAAGGUUAAUUGAUGGGGUUAGCGGUAACGCGAAGCUCUUGAUCGAAGCCCCGGUAAACGGCGGCCGUAACUAUAACGGUCCUAAGGUAGCGAAAUUCCUUGUCGGGUAAGUUCCGACCUGCACGAAUGGCGUAAUGAUGGCCAGGCUGUCUCCACCCGAGACUCAGUGAAAUUGAACUCGCUGUGAAGAUGCAGUGUACCCGCGGCAAGACGGAAAGACCCCGUGAACCUUUACUAUAGCUUGACACUGAACAUUGAGCCUUGAUGUGUAGGAUAGGUGGGAGGCUUUGAAGUGUGGACGCCAGUCUGCAUGGAGCCGACCUUGAAAUACCACCCUUUAAUGUUUGAUGUUCUAACGUUGACCCGUAAUCCGGGUUGCGGACAGUGUCUGGUGGGUAGUUUGACUGGGGCGGUCUCCUCCUAAAGAGUAACGGAGGAGCACGAAGGUUGGCUAAUCCUGGUCGGACAUCAGGAGGUUAGUGCAAUGGCAUAAGCCAGCUUGACUGCGAGCGUGACGGCGCGAGCAGGUGCGAAAGCAGGUCAUAGUGAUCCGGUGGUUCUGAAUGGAAGGGCCAUCGCUCAACGGAUAAAAGGUACUCCGGGGAUAACAGGCUGAUACCGCCCAAGAGUUCAUAUCGACGGCGGUGUUUGGCACCUCGAUGUCGGCUCAUCACAUCCUGGGGCUGAAGUAGGUCCCAAGGGUAUGGCUGUUCGCCAUUUAAAGUGGUACGCGAGCUGGGUUUAGAACGUCGUGAGACAGUUCGGUCCCUAUCUGCCGUGGGCGCUGGAGAAUUGAGGGGGGCUGCUCCUAGUACGAGAGGACCGGAGUGGACGCAUCACUGGUGUUCGGGUUGUCAUGCCAAUGGCACUGCCCGGUAGCUAAAUGCGGAAGAGAUAAGUGCUGAAAGCAUCUAAGCACGAAACUUGCCCCGAGAUGAGUUCUCCCUGACUCCUUGAGAGUCCUGAAGGAACGUUGAAGACGACGACGUUGAUAGGCCGGGUGUGUAAGCGCAGCGAUGCGUUGAGCUAACCGGUACUAAUGAACCGUGAGGCUUAACCUU